rnacentral:lncRNA from 1 species
UGCGGAAAAAUGAAAUAAAAAUAUGAAUUUAACCAAUUAUUCAAAAAUACACAACAAAUUCCAAACCCAGGAACAUCGUGAAUCACAAACUACAGAAAGAAAAAUGUAGUGUCUCUAUACAUCCGAGUCUAACAAGGAAAAAUACAGAAGAUAAUGGAUAUGAGAAAGAGUAGAAGGGGACUCCGAGGUCUGCGGACGCGACAGAUAUACCUUGAAGUCUCCAAAGUUGUCCCGGCUAACUCAUAGUACGGCUAAUAAGGUACACCUGGAUCUGCACAUGCAAAACAUGUACAGAUAGUAGCAUGAGUACACCACAAUUGGUACUCAGUAAUGCCAAGCCUAACCUCGAUCGAGUAGUGACGAGGUCAGAUAAAGGCCCUACUGGUAAAUAUGUAAUAAAAUAAUAUAGAGUGUAAUACCGCAAUAAAAUAAAAGCUGAAAUUUAACAACAAUGAAAUCAUAAAAGGUAACAACUUAGUACACAGAAACACAAUAGGGGAUCUCCCGAGAUACCGUCCUGUAGUUCGAAACGUAAAUGUGCACGGGAAUCUCCCGAAAUACCGUUCCGUAGUCCCAAAAUAAAUGUGCAGGGGGAUCUCCCGGAAUUCCGUUCCGUAGUCCCAAAGUAAAUAUGCAGUACAUGGGGAUCUACCACAAUACUGUUCCGUAGUCCCAAAGUAAAUAUGCAGCGCGAAUGAUAGAAAUACAACUACAUUACGAAAUUCUUAUAAUUUAGUCUAAGUACCAGUCAGUGAAGAAGCGGGAAAUUCAUUAAGCAUAUUUCACAUAAUUCACAUAAACAAUUAAGACACGUAGACAUGUUGUAUUAGACUAAACAUGAUAGCUACACGUAUUGGAAUAACUCAAUUAAGAAAUAAAAAUAGAUUAGUACUCAUUAAAAUGGUAUGACUCAAAAUAACAGAAAAAUAUGUUGCUGCUCAGUAAGAAAAUCGGAUUUUCCACGAUUAACCCAUGUACGUACCUGUCACCUCACGUAUACGGCGCUCACAUAGCACAAUAGUUCCAAAUCUUAAGGGGAUUUCCCCCCAACAAAUUUAGGCAAGUCACUUACCUCGAACCAAGCUCAAUCAAUCGGUCACAAUGCCUUUCCCACGAAUAUCCGGCUCUGAAUAGUCCAAAUCUAGCCAAAAGCAAUUACAUAUCAUAAAUACUACAAUAAUACACUCAUCUAAUUAAUGAAAUCAACACUUUAAUAAAAUCCCGAAAUUAACUCAAAAAUUGCCCAUAGGGCCCACGUCUCAGAAUCGGGUAAAAGUUAUAAAAUAGGAACGCCCAUUCCUCCACGAGUCUAACCAUACCAAAAUUACUAAAUUUCGAUACCAAAUGGUCCUCCAAAUCCACAAAUCAAAUUUCCAAAUCCCUAGCCUCCAACUUCUAAUUUUCACCUUAAAUACAUACUAACUAGGUGAAAAAUAUAUGGCAAAGCAAUAUUAUUGAUCAAAUAUAAGCACAAGGGACUUACCUCAAGAAAUGCCUCGAAAAUGCUCUCACAAAUCGCCCUAAGCCGAGUUUGCAAAGUCAAAAAUGACAAAAAAUCACGAUGCCCUUCGGUUUUAACCACUGCCCAGGUAUUUCCGCACCUGCGGAACCUGGGCUCGCACCUUCGGGUGCGCUUGUGCGGAAAUUGUGUGCAUCUGCGCAAUUCACUUUCCCCCUCUGCCUUCGCACCUGCAAUGAAAGGUCUGCAUCUGCGCGUGCGCGCAUGCGUAAUUCCCUUUCGCAUCUGCGCACCUGCGAAGACCCCUAACGCAUCUGCGGGCAUCGCAGAUGCAGAAAUCACCUUGCACCUGGCACUCCUCCAUUUUUCCGCUUCUGCGCCAAUUUGCUUGCACUUGCGGGUAGCCUUGCGCAGGUGCGAUUACAGCAGAACCAGCAAAAAUACCAGAUUUUUCUAAGUCCAAUUUCAUUCCGUUAAGCAUCUGAAACACACCCGAGGCCCCCAGGACCUCAACCAAUCCUAUAACACCAUACGAACUUAGUCGAGCCUUCAAACCACAUCGAAUAACACCAAAAAUCAUGAAUUAAGCACGGAUUCUAGACUAAGAACUUAGAAUUUUCCAAAUUCUACAAACGACGCCGAACCACGUCAAAUCUAGUCCGAAUUACCUCAAAUUUUACACACAUAUCACAAAUGAUACUACGAACCUACAACCACUUUCGGAAAUUCAUUUCGAGCUCGAUAUCAAAAUUUUCACUAUCGCCUGAAAUCGCCGAAAAUCUAACUUUCGCCAAUUCAAGCCUAAAUCUACUACAGACCUACUUUCUAGACGCGCUCCUAAGCUCAAAAUCACUCAACGAAACUAACGGAGUCGACGAAAUUCCAUUCCGGAUUCGUCUUCACACAGUUCCGACUACGAUCCAAUUUCUAAGGCUUAAACUCACAACUAGGGACUAUGUGUCCCAAAACUCCCCGAAUUCCAUAACCAAUCACUCCGGCAAAAUUCCAAAAGUAGAAACAAAUGUGGGGAAAGCAGAUAUUAGGGGAUCAGGACUCUAAUUCUCAAAACGACCAGCCGGGUCUUUACACUAAUACUUGCAUUAGUUAUACAUCAUACUUGGUAUUAGCCUAUGUAUAAGUAAUGCAUAGAAAACCAUGACAGUAAUAAUACCAAUGCUAUUAAUGCAUGCAUUAGUAUGGUUAAAGACAAAAUUAUCCUUAAAGUCUCUUAAAGCUAGAGAAUAUGGAGGGCAUUUUUGUAAAUAACCUUUUUUUCUUAAAAAUUAUGCAAUACAUUAUAAUUUUUAAUACAUCACACCAAACAGUUUAUAAGAAAUAAUAUAUGCAUAACUAAUGCUUGCAUUACUAAUCCCUGCAUUAUUAACUCAUGCAUUACUAAUCCCUGCAUUACUAACUCAUGCAUUGCUAAUCACUGCAUUACUAAUUCAUGCAUUACUAAUUCUGCAUUACUAAUACACUGUAUUCUGCACUAUUCUCAUACACCCUACCAAACGACCCCUAAAUGUAUACAAUUUAAUUUGUAAAACCAAAGAUAUAAUAGAAAACUAUUUUAGAAUACAUCUAGCAAAGGAAGCAGGCUCAAGUGGAUAAGUGCGCCCGGCAAAGGAAACAUAAAUAAAGGCAGAUCCAUCAUACAUGUGGAAUAUCUUUGCCCCUAGUUUAACAAAAUUUAAGUGCCAUACAUGAACCUUUUGGAAAUCUUGUGAAUCAACUUGGAAUCCGUGCAAAUAAGUCCUAUAAAAAGAAUAAGUAUGAGAAAUAUGAUAGAAAUGUAGACUACCAUUAAAAAGUCGUAGUUGUAGAAAAUAUAUCGUCCAAUUUCUAUCAAGGUUGAGAGAAAAUAAUAAAAAGUACGACCUCCAAUAAAUGUCUGGAUCACACCCUCGACCAAAAUCUGAUUCUUCAUCUGAAUGAACAAAAUAUAAAUAGUAAGACAUGACUGCUGCACGGAUAAAUAAACCAUUCCAACCAUUGAUAUAUGUGGCAAUACCCUUAAAAUGCUGCAACCAAACAAUAGUAAAUGGAUGUAAAUAUGAAGUUGUAAGAAGAAUAACUGAAAUAAUCGGGAAAAAUAAGAAAUACGGUACCCUUAUUUUGCCGGAGAAUGGUCUGUUACUGAGUUUUGAAGAUAUUAUGGUAGUAAAGAAGGUCCGAUGCUUUGAGUGAAGAAGUAGUACAACUCAUAUUCGAAUAAGAAAAAAGGAAAAAGAGGAAAACAACAAUGAAGCAGCUGCAGCCAGCUAGCUAUCCCGGGGCCAGCUAUCUCAUAAAGACAUUUUUCUUCUUUUGUCUUUUCUCCUAGCAAUGUAAAAUAUUUUGCUACGAUUAUGGCUUCAACCCCUACCUUCUUUUUAUUUUGCUAGGGCAUCAGACCACAUUAA